CUGAAGAUGGGCAGCCGGCGGCCCGGGUCGAGGCUGGGGGACUCGGAGCCGCUGAGGCUGCCGGAGCUCAGGGAGCCGCUCAGGUAGUCUUCUUCCUCCUGUAUCAAAUGAAAACACCCAAAGUCAACCUUACGGGGAACGUUGAUGAAUCCCAGUCAGACCAAGCAGUGCCCUGCCAGAUACAAGAGCUCACAAGGUCAUCACCCUCUCCUAAUAGCCAUCCCAGCAGGAUGGGAAGUCCAGGAACCAGCUGGUCCCACUGCUGAAGCAGGUCAC